CAAAGGAUAAUUUAUUUAAAAUUUUAUUCUUGGAUAUUAACAAAGGGAUAAAGCUCUUCUUUGA
rnacentral:tRNA from 1 species